AUCCUUAUGAAUGCUUCGAUCUUCAAAUGAACAUUUUCUGCUUAUUGUACUGCAACAACCCCUUUAAGAACUAUGGAGUGACUGAAACAGGAAUGUCACAUGUUUCUUGUUCUUGCCCCAAAGCCUUAACGAGCUCUUUCUCACACCACUUCUGAAAUCAUCUGGUUGGUUAUCUAGGCCGAGAUUAGUGAUUAGAGAGUGGACUCUCUUUUCUGAGAAUGGGGCUAUUACUGUUCAGAGCAUCAAACUGCAUCUUGAAACUGAAGGGGUGCGUGUUUUGUAAUACACAUAAAUCAUACACGCCUUCUGUAUUACUUGUGUACGAAGUGUUGUUACUUGGUCACCACUCCCCGAGCUGGCUGAAAGAGUAAACCCUUUCCACAUUUCUUUCUCUUUCUGCCAACUUGCUUUUUCCAGAUUUUUUUUUAGAGGGACAUUUAAUUUUUCUUCUCAGAUUCUUGAUUUUCUGCUUCUCCUCCGUGACUUACCGGAGAUUAAUUUCGUCUCCUUAAUAACCGGUAAAGGUUCCUGGUAGUUUGUUAGUUAAAUUUAGGGUUUGAGGUUUGAGUGUAGUUUGGAUCUCAGAAAUCCUCUGUUAGUUUAUAAAUUUUGUUGUCUGUUCACUGGGUUUGCUAAUUCACUGUAUGUUGAAGUGUUGUCAGUUGUUCAGUAAGUAGAAUUUUGAUUCCUAGAGAUUAGGGUUUCUUGGAUUGCUGUGCUGGUGAUUUGAUUUACUGUAUAUGAAUCAUGAUUUUGUUAAUUUGAAUCGCCUUGUGAUUGUGGAAUGGGCUCAGUUAUGGAGUUGCAUAUUGCUGAUUUAGAUUCUUGUCUUAGAAAAUAACCAAGUAAAAGAGGGACCAGAGAGUGGUGGGGGAAGGAAGAUGGAGAGCAAUAUAUUUGAAGCAACAGUAGCAAAAGAAAUCGCUGAGAGGAAGUUUACCGCACAGGACAUUGCUGGUGCGAAGAAAUUUGCUUCGAAAGCUCAAAAUCUGUAUCCAAAUCUUGAAGGUAUUUCUCAUAUGUUGUCGACAUUGAUGUGUAUCUCUCAGCGAAGAAUAUAGUGUGCGGGGAAGCAGAUUGGUAUGGUAUUCUUGGUGUGAGUCAGUAUUCAGAUGAUGAAACAGUUCGAAAACAAUACAAGAAACUGGCUCUAUUGCUUCACCCGGACAAGAACCAAUCAGUUGGGGCAGACGGAGCAUUUAAGCUCAUUUCACAGGCACGGAGUUUGUUGUCUGAUAGGACUAAAAGAGCAGCAUAUGAUCAAAUGAGGUUUCCUAGAACAUCUCAUCCCGAAGUUUGAACCACAGCAAGUGGUCCAUCCUCCACAGACGCAAAUGUUUUCCGUCAAUAUCAAGGUGCUAAGAAGAAGACAAACAACGAUCUGUUUUAUGACUUAGCGGGAUGGGUGGUUCUUGCAGUUGCCAUUGUUGCUUGGAUUGGAAUGGUGAAAUCCCAGGUUCGACUAUAAUAUCACGGCACUACUGGGUUUACUCUUAGAUGUAGAAGCUAACAAGCUCCAAGACUCGCUAUUGUGGUGCUGCAUUUUGGGUACUACGGUUGUAUUUUUUACCAUUCACCCAGUAGUGUAUAUGGCUCAUCAUCUAUAUAUUUAACUUGAUUUUGUCCUGGAAA